rnacentral:rRNA from 1 species
AGGUUCGAUCCUGGCUCAGGAUGAACGCUGGCAGCAUAUACCAACACAUGCAAGUCGGACGGGAAGUGAGUGAUACCAGUGGCGGACCGUUGGAAGUAGCAAUGAGGAGCCUGCACUGCAGGAGACAACAGCUAGAAACGGCUGCUAAUACCCAUGGGCUGAGACAAAAAGAAUCCACUUAGGAGGGCUCCGUCUGAUUAGCUGGUUGGGCGAGGCAAUAACACAGGCGAUGAUCAGUAAGCUGGUCGAGAGGAUGAUCAGCCACAUAGGACAGACACAGCCCAGACUCCUACAGGAGGCAACAGUGGGGAAUUUUCCCUGUCGUGCAAAGCCUGACGGAGCAAUGCCGCGUGGAAGUACGAAGGCCGGGUCCUGAACUUCUUUUCCCAGAGAAGAAGCAAUGACGGUAUCUGAGAUAAAGCACAUCAGCUAACUCUGUGCCCAGCAGCCGCGGUAAUACAGAGUUGCAAAGCGUUAUCCGGAAUGAAUUGGGCGUAAAGCGUCUAUGCGGUGGCUUUUCGAUCCGCCGUCAAAUCCCAGGAGCUCAACCCUGGACAGGCUAAUUAAAACUACAGAAGCUUGAGCAGUAGGGGCAGAGGGAAUUUCGGUGGAGCAGUGCAAAUGCGUAGAGAUCGGAAGAACACCAACAGCGAAAGCACUCUGAUACGACACUGACACCUGAGAGGCAAGCUAGAGGGCAGAUGGGAUUAGAUACCCCAGUAGUCCUAAUGCGUAAACGAUGGAUACUAGGCACUAUGCGUAUCGGCCAUUACAGUGCUGGCAGCUAACGCGUUGAGAUAUCCCUUACUGAGGAGUACACGUUCGCAGAAUGAAACUCAAAGGAAUUGACGGGGCCCACUUUGAGCGGUGGAACGUAAUGGUUGAAUUCCUGAGUACAAAGCGAAGAACCCUGGGGCUUAUGCCUGGAAUCCUCUUGAAAGGGGUACCUUCGGAACGCGGACACAGGUGGUGCAUGGCUGUCGUCAGCUCGUGCCGUAGGUGUUGGGUUAAGUCCCGCAACAGGCACAACCCUCGUGUUUAGCGUUUGCCACCGUUGUUUGGGACCUGAACAGACUGCGGUGAUAAUAAAGCCGGAGGAAGGUGGGGAUGACGUCAAGUCCUCAUGCCCCCCGCUGUGCCCUGGGCGCACGUGCUACAAUGGCCGGGACAAAGGGUCACGAUCCCGCAGGUGACUAACUCCAAAACCGUCCUCGGUUCGGAUUGCGGGCUGCAACUCGCCUGCAUGAAGCUGAUCGCUAGUAAUCGCCGGUCAGCCAUGCAGCGGUGAAUUCGUUCCCAGGGCCUUGUACCGCCCGUCACACUAUAGAGGCUGGCCAUGCCCGGGGUCGUUACUGGCCGCAAGGGAGGUGCCGAAGGCGGGGCUAGUGACUGGAGUGAAGUCGUAACAAGGUAGCCAUGCUGGAAAGUUACGGCUG